GACAGCCAAAUACACAAGCAAGGAGGACGGAGUCACUAGGUCCAAUGGCCCCAACCUCCUUGCUAGCAGAUUGAAUGGCAACA
rnacentral:pre_miRNA from 5 species